UCAACAAGUUUUCUUUCAUUUUUUUCCAGACUCUUUUUUUUCCUUCACUUCUCGCUUCGUUUACUUGCCGUUGUUAAGCCAACGCCAUCAACAUACUACAGCUUUUCUUUCUAUAUCUUUAUCUUUACUCUGUUCAUUCUUUGCCCAAAAGAAGAAAAGAAAAAUGUUAAGAACUUGUUAUUCGAAUGGUUUCGAAUCAUUGAGAGAGAGAGAGAGAUAGGUAACAGACUUUAUAAAGGGAGUGGG